rnacentral:tRNA from 1 species
GGUUCGAUGGUGUAUCGGUUAGCACGCUGGACCUUUGAAUCCAGUGAUCCGAGUUCAAAUCUCGGUGGAACCU